UUUUCAGCGAGAGAAGUAUGGUAGAGAACCUCUCCCACAUGAGCUAUUCGAGGUGACCCAUACUAGAAAGGCCAACGGUGAACUUGUUGAUGGAUGGCCAAAGAUGAUUUAUGUAAGUGAAUAAGCAUUUGAAUUGACUAUCUUUUAAUAUUUGUACUGUGAGAUAAAUUUUGAGGAUAAUAUUUGAUAAUUGAUAUGAUACAGGAUCGCUAUAAUAUGCUUAAGGAGCAGAUAUCUCAGCCACAAGAGGGAUGCAAUGAGCCUCCUACUGUGGAUGAGAGUCAGCUUUGGUAUGAGGCCAUUGGGGGAGAG
rnacentral:lncRNA from 1 species